rnacentral:rRNA from 1 species
UACGGAGGGUGCAAGCGUUAUCCGGAUUCACUGGGUUUAAAGGGUGCGUAGGUGGGUUUGUAAGUCAGUGGUGAAAUCUCCAAGCUUAACUUGGAACUGCCGUUGAUACUAUAAAUCUUGAAUGUUGUGGAGGUGAGCGGAAUAUGUCAUGUAGCGGUGAAAUGCUUAGAUAUGACAUAGAACACCAAUUGCGAAGGCAGCUCACUACACAAAGAUUGACACUGAGCACGAAAAGCGUGGGGAUCAAACAGG